rnacentral:rRNA from 1 species
UACAGAGGUCUCGAGCGUUAGGCGGAAUCACUGGGCUUAAAGCGUGUGUAGGCGGAUUGCUAAGUACCUUGUGAAAUCCCACGGCUUAACCGUGGAACUGCUUGGUAUACUGGCUGUCUUGAGCCACUUAGGGGCAACCGGAACAAACGGUGGAGCGGUGAAAUGCGUAGAUAUCGUUUGGAACGCCAACGGUGAAAACAGGUUGCUGGGGGUGUGCUGACGCUGAGACACGAAAGCCAGGGGAGCGAACGGG